rnacentral:lncRNA from 1 species
GUGUGUGUUAAUGACAGUGCUAGAGGGAUGAGUAGCACCAGCACAAUAGUCAGAACUUCUGUGUUGGUACCAUAGUAAAGGGGCAUAAAGAACUUUAGUUGCCUCAACCAAAUACUACAAAACUUAUACACAAAAUAAAAAAGAAGAUGUGGCAUGAGUGCCAAUAAGAACUCUCUACAAAAGACUAGAUGACACAGAAAUUAACAGCUAUAAGUC